rnacentral:rRNA from 1 species
GAUGAACGCUGGCGGCGUGCCUAAUACAUGCAAGUCGAGCGAACAGACGAGGAGCUUGCUCCUCUGACGUUAGCGGCGGACGGGUGAGUAACACGUGGAUAACCUACCUAUAAGACUGGGAUAACUUCGGGAAACCGGAGCUAAUACCGGAUAAUAUAUUGAACCGCAUGGUUCAAUAGUGAAAGACGGUUUUGCUGUCACUUAUAGAUGGAUCCGCGCCGCAUUAGCUAGUUGUUAAGGUAACGGCUUACCAAGGCGACGAUGCGUAGCCGACCUGAGAGGGUGAUCGGCCACACUGGAACUGAGACACGGUCCAGACUCCUACGGGAGGCAGCAGUAGGGAAUCUUCCGCAAUGGGCGAGAGCCUGACAGAGCAACGCCGCGUGAGUGAUGAAGGUCUUCGGAUCGUAAAACUCUGUUAUUGGGGAAGAACAAAUGUGUAAGUAACUAUGCACGGCUUGACGGUACCUGAUCAGAAAGCCACGGCUAACUACGUG